UACUAAACUUCCGGGUUUUGACGUCAGCCCUGGCACACUCUAUACAUGCCUUAUUUCUAUGAAAAAAAAAUGCCAGUUUUGCUUUUAAGGACUUCGGUUCAUUAGUAUGUUAUUUAAAACACAGCUUGUCAUUGAGCCAGAACCCAUGAUAUUUGUAAGAGGAUACUCUUUCAAUCAGUGUGCCAUUAAGGCAAGUAAUAGUCACUUCAGUUGAACUGUUUGUCAUUUUUACAGAGAAUCGCAUGCAUGUGGUUUUACCUGAGUUUAACAGUAAUUUAGAAUUAAAUUACCGGUAAACAAAUAAAAUAAACAAUUAAAGUUUGCUUUACAGCACAGAAAUCAGGAUACAAGUUAUUGUGCCUGGGCAACAGAGAGUGCUGUUGCAUAUAAAAUGGCAUCGUCCGCAUACAGAUGAAUUUUACUGUUUCUAACUUUAACACCCAAUUCAUUAUUAAAUAUUGUGAAUAAAAGUGGACCCAAAAUAGCACCCUGUGUCACGCCUUAAUUAACACACAUGAAGCUGGACUGAUAGCCAUCGGCCGCAACAGCUUGUGUUCUACCACUGAGAUAACUUAAAAAGCAAUUACACGUGGAAGUGCUGAUAAUAACAGUCUUGGUUCUAACUGAUCAGCCCCAGUGGACUUUUUUGGGUCAAUAGAACAAAGAGCAUUUAACACUUCAAGAUUUGUAAAAUGCUUAAAAGAAAAGAUCAAGAUGCCACACUCGUUGCCCAGCAAGGUGCACUAUGCUCAAAAACAGUUAAAGAGAAAUGAAAUAAAGUCUUCAUCAAAUUCACACACAAAGUUACAGACUGUGGGAGGCUAAAGCAGCAUUGUAACAACAAAAAAGUUUAAUUUGGGUCAGUAUUUGUGGUUCAACAAGAUGAAAAAGAAAGAAUGGAUAGACUAAGGUAAAAAAUGACACAACAUGACCAGUAUUAUUUCACAUUAUUUUAUAAGAGGGCUACAGGACAGUACAUCAUUGUAUUUGUUAUAUUGUAACAACUUAUUGUAAACUGUAGAUGCCGUUAAGGUCAACGACGUCUGAAGAUGAUGCACCAACGGGGUUGUCAACACCAACUUCACUGGAUUCUCUUUCAUCAUCACACAGCAUGUCAACGGGUACAAGUGGCUCAGUAAUAUUCACUGAUUCAUCAAACUCUUCCAAGGAUCAGGAUGCUGUCAAAGACAGAAAUAUGGGAAAUAGUCAGUAUGAGACAUCCACCCAGUCAAGGUAUG